rnacentral:rRNA from 1 species
UACGGAGGGUGCAAGCGUUAUCCGGAUUCACUGGGUUUAAAGGGUGUGUAGGCGGAUAUUUAAGUCAGAGGUGAAAUCUCCAGGCUCAACCUGGAAACUGCCUUUGAUACUAUUUAUCUUGAAUUUUGUUGAGGUAGGCGGAAUAUAUCAUGUAGCGGUGAAAUGCAUAGAUAUGGAUAUAGAACACCGAUUGCGAAGGCAGCUUACGUAAGCAAACAUUGACGCUGAGGCACGAAAGCGUGGGGAUCAAACAGG